rnacentral:rRNA from 1 species
GACAGAGGGGGCAAGCGUUGCUCGGAAUUACUGGGCGUAAAGCGUGCGCAGGCGGCUUUGCAAGACAGAUGUGAAAUCCCCGGGCUUAACCUGGGAACUGCGCUUCUAACUGGCAGGCUAGAGUGUGGCAGAGGGGGGUGGAAUUCCACGUGUAGCAGUGAAAUGCGUAGAGAUGUGGAGGAACACCGAUGGCGAAGGCAGCCCCCUGGGCUAACACUGACGCUCAUGCACGAAAGCGUGGGGAGCAAACAGG